rnacentral:rRNA from 1 species
GUGUAGGUGUGUGUUCCAGGUAAAUCCGGUUCACUUUAACACUGAGGCGUGAUGACGAGGCACUACGGUGCUGAAGCAACAAAUGCCCUGCUUCCAGGAAAAGCCUCUAAGCAUCAGGUAACAUCAAAUCGUACCCCAAACCGACACAGGUGGUCAGGUAGAGAAUACCAAGGCGCUUGAGAGAACUCGGGUGAAGGAACUAGGCAAAAUGGUGCCGUAACUUCGGGAGAAGGCACGCUGACACGUAGGUGAAGUGAUUUACUCAUGGAGCUGAAGUCAGUCGAAGAUACCAGCUGGCUGCAACUGUUUAUUAAAAACACAGCACUGUGCAAACACGAAAGUGGACGUAUACGGUGUGACGCCUGCCCGGUGCCGGAAGGUUAAUUGAUGGGGUCAGCGCAAGCGAAGCUCCUGAUCGAAGCCCCGGUAAACGGCGGCCGUAACUAUAACGGUCCUAAGGUAGCGAAAUUCCUUGUCGGGUAAGUUCCGACCUGCACGAAUGGCGUAAUGAUGGCCAGGCUGUCUCCACCCGAGACUCAGUGAAAUUGAACUCGCUGUGAAGAUGCAGUGUACCCGCGGCAAGACGGAAAGACCCCGUGAACCUUUACUAUAGCUUGACACUGAACAUUGAGCCUUGAUGUGUAGGAUAGGUGGGAGGCUUUGAAGUGUGGACGCCAGUCUGCAUGGAGCCGGCCUUGAAAUACCACCCUUUAAUGUUUGAUGUUCUAACGUGGACCCGUGAUCCGGGUUGCGGACAGUGUCUGGUGGGUAGUUUGACUGGGGCGGUCUCCUCCUAAAGAGUAACGGAGGAGCACGAAGGUUGGCUAAUCCUGGUCGGACAUCAGGAGGUUAGUGCAAUGGCAUAAGCCAGCUUGACUGCGAGCGUGACGGCGCGAGCAGGUGCGAAAGCAGGUCAUAGUGAUCCGGUGGUUCUGAAUGGAAGGGCCAUCGCUCAACGGAUAAAAGGUACUCCGGGGAUAACAGGCUGAUACCGCCCAAGAGUUCAUAUCGACGGCGGUGUUUGGCACCUCGAUGUCGGCUCAUCACAUCCUGGGGCUGAAGUAGGUCCCAAGGGUAUGGCUGUUCGCCAUUUAAAGUGGUACGCGAGCUGGGUUUAGAACGUCGUGAGACAGUUCGGUCCCUAUCUGCCGUGGGCGCUGGAGAACUGAGGGGGGCUGCUCCUAGUACGAGAGGACCGGAGUGGACGCAUCACUGGUGUUCGGGUUGUCAUGCCAAUGGCACUGCCCGGUAGCUAAAUGCGGAAGAGAUAAGUGCUGAAAGCAUCUAAGCACGAAACUUGCCCCGAGAUGAGUUCUCCCUGAGACUUUAGGUCUCCUGAAGGAACGUUGAAGACGACGACGUUGAUAGGCCGGGUGUGUAAGCGCAGCGAUGCGUUGAGCUAACCGGUACUAAUGAACCGUGAGGCUUAACCUUACA